GAAGCCUCUUUUAAUUAAUAGAUUGUGCUUUUAACAGACAGGGAAAGAAAGACAUACAGAACUGGAGUUCUUUUAAAAUUUUCUAUGUUAACUACUUUAAUUCCCUGGAGUCAAUGAGUAGCACUAAUUAAAUUUAUGGAACUUACUCAGGGGAUCUGCAUAGCCAAGAGAUCAUCCAGAGGUGCCAAUGGCUAGGUCAGCAUAUUAGAGGGAGAAGGUGCCUGAGCUAUCCAGUCCAACCCCAUUAUUUUGUAGGUGAUAGGAUUGUGACUCAGAAGGAAAGGGCUUGCCUAAGACUCACAGCUCAUUUUUUGGCAAAACCAGGACUUAACUCCAGAUUUUUUGUUUAUUUGUUUUAUUUUGUGUGGCUUAAUCUUUGGGUUCAAAGCAACAAAAAUCUCACCAAACUACCUUAACCAAAAAGGGGAAUUUAUUGAGACCAUGUAAGAAUUGUUCUAGGUCUUAGAUUACUAGGCAGUAUGAGGGAAUGCAACCCAGACUAGUGAGUUAAGACUGUUAUAUUGCUUCUCUGGCUUUCAAAAAGGUCACCAGUUGUCAGCAUGUGUGUUACAUUUGUUUCUCAGAUGUAUACAGCUUGGCCAGCAGUGUGAAGUGUGUAACUAUCCAAAGGUCUGUAAAGGCACUGAUUGCUGAGUCGACCCCAUAAUUUCUAUCUCUUGGGGUAGAUCUUGAAGAGUUGCAUUUCUAACAAGUUCCUGUAUGAGGCUGGCAGAACAGUUUGAGAACCUCUAGCUCAAAGAAUUCUGAAUUUGAUUUUCUUUAGACAAAGCAUGCCUCUUCAGUUCUUCUUACUCAAAUUGUUCUUCCUGACCUUUCAGAGUAUGGGAGCCCUGCCCAAGGCAUUAUUGCAUGUGAUUACUCUAUUUUUUUUUUCCUGUAAACCAACUUCCUCUUCUCUACUCACACAAGGACCAUGAUGACUUCCAAGUCUUUCCUGGCUUUCCUAAAGGAAGUCAUUCCUUAUUCCCCAUUGCUUUAUAAGUCCAGAGCGCUCAGGUGGUUAGGGCAGGGCAGGGCCAUGAAACAUGGUUACAGACAUGCACUUCUUAGGAUGGAGGAGGAAAACAUAUCACAUGGUAUCUGUCAUGAUAUUUCUUGGAACACAGGUGUCCAACAAAAUGCCAAUGACUUAUGCAGUAGGUGAGUAUGUUUGGAAAACAAUGAGAUUAAACCAAUUUCAAUAGUAGUUUUGUUUGUAAUCUGUAAAUAUGCAUGUGACUGUCCAACAUGGUAAUCAAGAAUGCAACUUUUCCUACUUGUACAUAACAGAUCCUCUUCUAAGCAUAAGGCUUUGUUCUAGAACCUGGAAAAUACAAUAGCAACAGAGGAAAUACAUUUUGAAUUUUACAUUCCAGUGAGAGGAAGACAUGAAAUGCAAUACAAUGUAGUACAACAUGAUAUAUCACAAUACAACGUGAGACAUUGGAAUAGGAUAUGAUGUACUGUGACAGUGAUAUACUACAAUACAAUGUGACAUAUUGUAAUAUUGGAUAUACUGUGAUACAAAGCAAUACAAUGUAACACCAGUACAAUGUAUACACUGUCAUACCACCAUACACAGUGACACAAUACAUUAUACUGUGUUAUACUAUAAUAUGAUAUAAUACAAUGUGAUACAUCAUGAUAUAAUGUACUGAUACAUCAUAUGAAGAAUAGUACUAUAAAACUAGGGUCUGUUGGAUUAGGACACUUAACAGAGACUGAAUUAGUCUAAGGGAAUAACUGCUUUUUUUGAGAUGCUACAUUAUAGCUAUGAUAUAAAAGAUGAACAGAAGCUAUAGUAGGGAGAAGAGUGGAGAAAAUGGCAUGAGCAAAAGCUCUGAGUGUAGCAUAUUCAAAAGAGUGGUAAGGCCACUACAAUGGGACAGCAGACAACCACAGAGAAAAUGAUAUGAGGUGAGUCUAGAAGCAUGAGCAAGGGGAAAUCCUCAUUCAAGUAGAUCAUGAUAAAGAAUCUUUGCAAGGAAUGAAUGGUAAACCACUAAUAGGUCUUCAUCAGGGGAAUGGCAGAACAGAUUUUCAUUUAAAAGGAUCAUUCUGGCUUUUAGGCCAUUAGAGAUCUAGUACAGCUUUUGCUUACCUUCUGUCACUCUUCACUUUCCAAAACCCCUGUACUUCAGCUGUACGAAACUUCUUAUCAGUCUAAAAUACUGCUGUUUUAUCUAAAAUUACUUUCUUAGCACCACUCUCCAGUGGUGUGUGUGUGUGUUUCUUACAGACAAGUUCUGUGCAUCUUGUAAAACCCACAUCCACCUGGAUACAUCCCCGUGAAGUCUUUCCUGGCUUUCCAAAGGAAGUCAUUCUUUAUGCUUUCACAGAACUAGGUUCACACCUAGUGUCAGCUAGAAUGUGGACACCAUUCCAGUACCUUCAACAGUACCUGAUCACCUUAAUAUAGUAUAUAUAUAUACUCCAACUAAUAAUAUUUUCUCAGUGUCCUUACCCUCUUUUUAGACAAACCAAUUUCUCAGAGGGCAAAGACCAUGUCUUACUCCUUCUGGUCAUCAGCAUCUGGCAUAGGUCCUGGCAGCCAGGUCUCAGUAAACCCUCCAUAAAUUUAUGUUUAAUGAACAAAUUUCAGGAUAGAAAGACCAAGCUUUCUAUUAAUCUCUUUCUAUAGCCAAGCACCUUUCACAGUUCUGAUGUGUUUAAAUGACUUUUGUCCUUGGCCUCCCUGGAUUUUGAAAGGGGAUCGCCUCAUCCUCAUGACCUCUGGAACUUGGACUGCCCUGGUUGACCCUCACUUUACCCGUGGGCAUCUCUGACUCCCUUUCCCACUCUGUUAACUUGGUCAAAGAAGGUUGAUGUUAUGUGGAAAAAGAACACUGACCAGAGAUAGUGUCAGCUGCUCAUGAAGCUCUGUCCUAAAGGAACAGAACAGAGGAAGAGCUGGUUCGAAGAGCUGGUUGGAAAGCAGUCUUGAGAUGUUUUAGCUCUAUGUGUUUAACAUGGCUGAUGCCUUAAGCAAGAAACAGGGCCUGGAAUUUGAAUGUUACUUACUCAAGAUCAUACAGCUCAAUGUUUAUUUAUUAUUCAUUUAUUUAUUUUUGUCAUAUCUGGUUUUGAAAGGGUUUCAGGUAACUCAAAGAUAUACUUUGAACAUGACACAAGAAACAGAAGAGAAUUAAAAGGGAUAGAGAUGCAAAAGGUAUCUAGAAUGCAAACUGCAUGGCAGAACUUAUCAAAUAUUUUCCACAGAAUGCUAUUAGGCCAGAUGUUAGUAGGUCUCUCUCUCUCUCUCUCUCUCUCUCUCUCUCUCUCACACACACACACACACACACACACACACACACACACAGAGUUUCUUAGUAGAAAUGUUUGAAUAUAUUGAAACCAAUUUAAACAGAUUACUACAGAAUCUUCCAAAUCUUUAAUUUUGUACUGUGAAUCAACAAAAUGUGACAUAACUCAAGUUUAUUUGAUCUGGAUCUCUUUCUUUUUUUUAAUGCUAUAUUUGAGAAACUAGUGGUUUGACAAAUACCUAUUGGGAAACACAGCCUUGAAAUUCUUCAUAUUUUCUAAGUUGAAGGCUAAGAAAAUUCAACUCUGAGUUUUCUAGCAGAAACCAAGGAAAGCAGCCAGCCAGUCAGUCAGUCAGUCAGUUAUCCUAGUAACUAGGGAGGCUGUGGCUGGAGAAUCACAAGUUCAAGGCCAGCCUUAGCAAUUUAAUGAGGUCCUAAGCAACUUAGCUAGACCCUGUCUCAAAAUACAAAAUAAAAAGGACUGGGGGUAGUUAAGCAUCUCUGGAUUAAAUUCCCAGUACCAAACCAAACAAAAAUGAAAAUAAAAACAAAAAGGAAACAAAAGCCCAAGUCAGUCAAAUGAUUCACACUAUAUAUAAGAUAAAAACAGAUCAAUUGAUCUGGAGAAGCCCAGGCAGGAACUCCUUGGAAGAGCCUCAGAAAGGAGAAAGUGUGAUGUAAUGAAGUCCUCAAUUUCCCUACAUAUAUUGCUAAUUACAUUGCACUCAUCCUAUACAAUCCCUCAGUAUAGAUGAAAGCCAUAAUACUAAUAUACAAACAUUAUUCUAUAAUGAACAAAUGAAAUGUAUUAUAGGUAAAUAUCUUGCUGAUCUGGUUUACUAUAGAUUUUAUAGUAUGAAAGUAUAUUCUUUUUUUAUUUUUUAUUUUUAUUGUUGGUUGUUCAAAACAUUACAUAGCUCUUGGCAUAUCAUAUUUCACACUUUGAUUCAAGUGGGUUAUGAACUCCCACUUUUACCCCAUAUACAGAUUGCAGAAUCACAUCAGUUACACAUCCAUUGAUUUACAUAUUGCCAUACUAGUGUCUGUUGUAUUCUGCUGCCUUUCCUAUCCUCUACUAUCCCCCCUUCCCUCCCCUCCCCUCCCCUCUUCUCUCUCUACCCCAUCUACUGUAAUUCAUUUCUCCCCCUUGUUUUUUCUUUUUUCCCUUUCCCCUCACUUCCUCUUGUAUCUAAUUUUGUAUAACCCUGAGGGUCUCCUUCCAUUUCCAUGCAAUUUCCCUUCUCUCUCCCUUUCCCUGCCACCUCUCAUCCCUGUUUAAUGUUAAUUUUCUUCUCAUGCUCUUCCUCACUACUCUGUUCUUAGUUACUCUCUUUAUAUCAAAGAAGACAUUUGGCAUUUGUUUUUAGGGAUUGGCUAGCUUCACUUAGCAUAAUCUGCUCUAAUGCCAUCCAUUUCCCUGCAAAUUCUAUGAUUUUGUCAUUUUUUAAUGCAGAGUAAUACUCCAUUGUGUAUAAAUGCCACAUUUUUUUUAUCCAUUCGUCUAUUGAAGGGCAUCUAGGUUGGUUCCACAGUCUUGCUAUUGUGAAUUGUGCUGCUAUGAACAUCGAUGUAGCAGUGUCCCUGUAGCAUGCUCUUUUUAGGUCUUUAGGGAAUAGACCGAGAAGGGGAAUAGCUGGGUCAAAUGGUGGCUCCAUUGCCAGCUUUCCAAGAAAUCUCCAUACUGCUUUCCAAAUUGGCUGCACCAAUUUGCAGUCCUACCAGCAAUGUACAAGUGUACCCUUUUCCCCACAUCCUCGCCAGCACUUGUUGUUGUUUGACUUCAUAAUGGCUGCCAAUCUUACUGGAGUGAGAUGGUAUCUUAGGGUGGUUUUGAUUUGCAUUUCUCUGACUGCUAGAGAUGGUGAGCAUUUUUUCAUGUACUUGUUGAUUGAUUUUAUGUCUUCCUCUGAGAAGUGUCUGUUCAGGUCCUUGGCCCAUUUGUUGAUUGGGUUAUUUGUUAUCUUAUUGUUUAAUUUUUUGAGUUCUUUGUAUACUCUGUAUAUUAGGGCUCUAUCUGAAGUGUGAGGAGUAAAGAUUUGUUCCCAGGAUGUAGGCUCCCUAUUUACCUCUCUUAUUGUUUCUUUUGCUGAGAAAAAACUUUUUAGUUUGAGUAGGUCCCAUUUGUUGAUUCUAGUUAUUAACUCUUGUGCUAUGGGUGUCCUAUUGAGGAAUUUGGAGCCCGACCCCACAGUAUGUAGAUCAUAGCCAACUUUUUCUUGUAUCAGACGCCAUGUCUCUGAUUUGAUAUCAAGCUCCUUGAUCCAGUUUGAGUUAACUUUUGUGCAUGGCGAGAGAAAGGGAUUCAGUUUCAUUUUGUUGCAUAUGGAUUUCCAGUUUUCCCAGCACCAUUUGUUGAAGAUGCUAUCCUUCCUCCAUUGCAUGCUUUUAGCCCCUUUAUCAAAUAUAAGAUAGUUGUAAUUUUGUGGAUUGGUUUCUGUGUCCUCUAUUCUGUACCAUUGGUCCACCCGCCUGUUUUCGUACCAGUACCAUGCUGUUUUUGUUACUAUUGCUCUGUAGUAUAGUUUGAAGUCUGGUAUCACUAUACCGCCUGAUUCACACUUCCUGCUUAGAGUUGUUUUUGCUAGUCUGGGUCUUUUAUUUUUCCAUAUGAAUUUCAUGAUUGCUUUCUCUAUUUCUACAAGAAAUGCCAUUGGGAUUUUGAUUGGCAUUACAUUAAACCUGUAGAAAACUUUUGGUAAUAUCGCCAUUUUGAUGAUGUUGGUUCUGCCUAUCCAUGAACAGGGUAUAUUUUUCCAUCUUCUAAGAUCUUCUUCUAUUUCUCUCUUUAGGGUUCUGUAGUUUUCAUUGUAUAAGUCUUUCACCUCUUUUGUUAGGUUGAUUCCCAAGUAUUUUAUUUUUUUUUUGAGGAUAUUGUGAAUGGAGUGGUUGUCCUCAUUUCCAUUUCAGAGGAUUUGUCGCUGAUAUACAGGAAUGCCUUUGAUUUAUGUGUGUUGAUUUUAUAUCCUGCCACUUUGCUGAAUUCAUUUAUUAGCUCUAAUAGUUUCUUUGUAGAGCCUUUUGGGUCUGCUAGGUAUAGAAUCAUGUCACCUGCGAAUAGUGAUAAUUUAAGUUCUUCUUUUCCUAUUUUUAUGCCUUUAAUUUCUUUCGUCUGUCUAAUUGCUCUGGCCAGUGUUUCGAGAACUAUGUUGAAAAGAAGUGGUGAGAGAGGGCAUCCCUGUCUUGUUCCAGAUUUUAGAGGGAAUGCCUUCAAUUUUUCUCCAUUCAGAAUGAUGCUAGCCUGAGGCUUAGCAUAGAUAGCUUUUACAAUAUUGAGGUAUGUUCCUGUUAUCCCUAGUUUUUCUAGAGUUUUGAACAUGAAGGGAUGCUGUACUUUGUCGAAUGCUUUUUCUGCAUCUAUCAAUAUGAUCAUAUGGUUCUUAUCUUUAAGUCUAUUGAUGUGGUGAAUAAUAUUUAUUGAUUUCCGUAUAUUGAACCAGCCUUGCAUCCCAGGGAUGAAUCCUACUUGAUCAUGGUGCACAAUUUUUUUGAUAUGUUUUUGUAUCCGAUUCGCCAGAAUUUUAUCGAGGAUUUUUGCAUCUGGGUUCAUUAGAGAUAUUGGUCUGUAGUUUUCUUUCUUUGAAAUGUCUUUGUCUGGUUUAGGUAUCAGGGUGAUGUUGGCCUUGUAGAAUGAAUUUGGAAGUUCUCCCUCUUUCUCUAUUUCCUGGAAUAGCUUGAAAAGUAUUGGUAUUAGUUCUUCUUUAAAGGUUUUGUAAAACUCUGCUGUAUACCCAUCCGGUCCUGGGUUUUCUUAGUUGGUAGUCUUUUGAUGGCUUCUUCUAUUUCCUCGAUUGAUAUUGGUCUGUUUAAGUUGUCUAUAUCCUCCUUACUCAAUCUGGGUAGAUCAUAUGACUUAAGAAAUUUAUCGAUGCCUUCACUAUCUUCUAUUUUAUUGGAGUAUAAGGAUUCAAAAUAAUUUCUAAUUAUCUUCUGUAUUUCUGAAGUGUCUGUUGUGAUAUUGCCUUUUUCAUCCCGUAUGCUAGUAAUUUGAGUUCUCUGUCUUCUUCUCUUCGUUAGCAUGGCCAAGGGUCUGUCGAUCUUAUUUAUUUUUUCAAAGAACCAACUUUUAGUUUUGUCAAUUUUUUCAAUUAUUUCUUUUGUUUUGAUUUCAGUUAUUUCAGCUCUGAUUUUAAUUAUUUCUUGCCUUCUAAUUCUUUUGCUGUUGAUUUGCUCUUCUUCUAGGAUUUUGAGAUGAACUGUGAGAUCAUUUAUUUGUUGGUUUUUUCUUUUUUUAAGGAAUGAACUCCAAGCAAUGAAUUUUCCUCUUAGAACUGCUUUCAUUGUGUCCCAUAGAUUCCGAUAUGUUGUGUCUGUGUUUUCAUUUAUCUCUAAGAAUUUUUUAAUUUCCUCCUUGAUGUCUUCUAUAACCCAUUGAUCAUUCAGUAACCUAUUGUUCAUUCUCCAAUUGAUGCAUGAUUUUUCCUUCCUUCUUUUAUCGUUGAUUUUCAGUUUCAUUCCAUUAUGAUCAGAUAAGAAGCAUGGUAUUAUCUCUACUCCUUUAUAAUGUCUAAGAGUUGCCCUGUGACAUAAUAUAUGAUCUAUUUUUGAGAAGGAUCCAUGUGCUGCUGAGAAAAAAGUGUAACUGCUUGAUGUUGGGUGGUAUAUUCUAUAUAUGUCAACUAAGUCUAGGUUUUUAAUUGUAUUAUUGAGUUCUAUAGUUUCUUUAUUCAACUUUUGUUUGGAAGAUCUCUCCAUUGGUGAGAGAGGUGUGUUAAAGUCUCCCAUAAUUAUUGUAUGGUGGUCUAUUAGACUCUUGAACUUGAGAAGAGUUUGUUUGAUGAACAUAGCUGCACCAUUGUUUGGAGCAUAUAUAUUUAUGAUUGUUAUGUCUUGUUGGUGUAUGGUUCCCUUGAGCAGUAUGUAGUGUCCCUCUUUAUCCCUUUUGAUUAACUUUGGCUUGAAAUCUAUUUUAUUUGAUAUGAGUAUGGACACUCCUGCUUGUUUCCAAAGUCCAUAUGAGUGAUAUGAUUUUUUCCAACCUUUCACCUUCAGUCUAUGUAUGUCUUUUCCUAUCAAAUGCGUCUCCUGUAGGCAGCAUAUUGUUGGAUCUUUUUUUUUUUUUUGAUCCAUUCUACUAGCCUGUGUCUCUUAAUUGGUGAGUUUAAGCCAUUAACAUUUAGGGUUAUUAUUGAGAUAUAGAUUCUUCUUCCAGCCAUAUUUGUUUAUUUAUGUUACUUAACAUGGUUUGUUUUUCCUCUUUGAUUAUUUUUCCCUUUACUGUACUACCUUACACUGUUGGUUUUCAUUGUUAUUUUCCAUUUCCUCUUCCUGUAAUGUUUUGCCAAGGAUGUUUUGAAGAGAUGGUUUUCUAGCUGCAAAUUCUUUUAACUUUUGUUUAUCGUGAAAGGUUUUAAUUUCCUCUUCCAUCCUGAAGCUUAAUUCCGCUGGAUACACAAUUCUUGGUUAGAACCCAUUUUCUUUCAGCAUUUGAAAUAUGUUGUUCCAGGAUCUUCUAGCUUUCAGUGUCUGUGUUGAAAGAUCAGCUGUUAUCCUGGUUGGUUUACCCCUAAAUGUAAUCUGCUUCCUUUCUCUUGAAGCUUUUAGAAUUUUCUCCUUAUUCUGUAUAUUGGGCACCUUCAUUAUAAUGUGUCUAGGUGUGGAUCUCUUAUGAUUUUGCACAUUUGGUGUCCUGUAGGCUUCUAGGAUUUGGGAUUCUGUCUUAUUCUUCAAGUCUGGGAAGUUUUCUCGUAUUAUUUCGUUGAACAGAUUGCUCAUUCCUUUGGUUUGGACCUCUAUACCUUCCUGUAUCCCAAUGACUCUUAAGUUUGGUCUCUUUAUGUUAUCCCAAAUUUCUUGGAUGUUUUGCUCAUGGUUUCUUAACAGUCUCUCUGAGCUGUCUAUGUUCUUUUCAAGUUGAAAUACUUUGUCUUCAUUGUCUGAUGUUCUAUCUUCUAGGUGUUCUACUCUGCUGGCAGUAUUCUCAUUUGAGUUUUUAAGUUGGUUUAUUGCUUCCUGCAUUUCUAGGAUUUCUGUUUGUUUGUUUUUUAUAACCUCUAUCUCCCUGUAUAGUUGAUCUUUUGCUUCUUGGAUUUGUUUAUGUUACUCAAUGUCGAAGUGAUCUUUCAUUGUCUGAUUUUGCUGUCUAAUGUCUUCCUUGAGACUCCAGAUCAUCUGAAGCAUGUAAAUUCUGAAUUCUUUAUCUGACAUUCCAUCUGCUGCAGCUAUUACCUCUUCUAAAGUUGAGUUGACCUGCAUUGCUUGUGGUCCUUUCUUUCCGUGUCUUUUCAUACUGCUUGCAUUUCUUUCUGCUUGGUGAGACUGUUGUGUUAUUGAAUUAUCCCCCUAUAUAUUUAUAUUGCUCUUGUAUAGUUGCAAAGUCUCCCUUGCAGGGGCGGGCGGCAACUGUGCUCCUCCUCCAAUUGGAGUGAUCUAUCUUGCCGGCGGGCCGCUGGGCCCCUUCUCCAGAUCGCGUGGUCUGCCUACCUUGCGGGCAACAGCUGGGCCCCUCCUCCAAUAGGGAUGAUCUGUCUACCACGCUGGCAGGCCGCUGGGCCUGUUCUCCAGGUUGCAGGUCUGCCUACCUUGCAGGUGCAGGCGGUGGCUGUGCCCCUCCUCUAAUUGGGGCGAUCUUUCAACUAGGCCUGCGUGCCGCCGGGCCCCUUCUCCAGGACGCACGGUCUGUCUACCUUGUGGGCAGCAGCUGGGACCUUUCUCCAAUUGGGGCAAUGUGUCUACCACGCUGGCGGGCCGCUGGGCCUGCUCCGUCGGUCGGUCGCAGGUCCCACCUUGCAGGCGUGGGAAGCGGCUCUACUCCGCACCUCCUCCAAUUGGGGCGAUGUGUCUACCACACCGGCAGGCCGCUGGGCCUGCUCCGCUGGUCGGUCGCAGGUCUUCCCACCUUACAGGCGUAGGCGGCGUCUCUGCUCCGCCCCUCCUCCAAUUGGGGCAAUGUGUCUACCACGCCGGCGGGCCGCUGGUCUCGAAAGUAUAUUCUUAGACAAAAUUUUGCUGGAUAAAUGUUUUUGGACCAGUUUAAAUGCCUUAGUAGAUAAUCAAGGGAAAGGAGGAAAAGUGACAUUUUAUAAUAAAAAUGAAGUAUUUUAUUCUACUAUUUUUCUUAUCCCCACAUCCCCUGCCUUCUCCUCCUUUCACUUUCCUCUACCUAAUCUAAGGUAAUGUUAUUAUUAUUUUUUUUCAUUACUGUAUGUGACUGCAUGACCAAUGUGAUUCUACAAUAUAUAUACUCAGAAAAAUGAGAAAUUAUAUCCCAACUAUGUAUAAUACAUCAAAGUAUAUAAGUGCAUUCUACUGCCAUGUAUAACUAAUUAAAACAAAAAAAAAUAAAAAUGAAGUAGUUUUAAUAAAAUGAGGUCAGACAUCUGGAUAUUUCUUCAUUCUACUUGGCUCACAGGUAAACUAGGGGGCUCUCAGUUAUGUGCAGAAAGAACUGAGACAAGGAACCACGUCCUUUGAUCACACAGAUGUCAGCAUUUAUCACCAAAGUUUUUCUGUGGCUUUCGGGGAGUGGCUUAAUAAUUUUUCUUGUUUUGCAAUCCUGAAAUGUAGAGGUUCAUAGCAAAAGGAAAGUUUGUAUCAUUCAAUCAUUAAGUCCAACUCAUUAAGUUCUAAAUGAAACUGUGUAUGGUGUGAUAUAAAGUGCAAAGGCACUAAUAUCUUUUCUAAGGAUAAGCCUAGAUAAGCUUAUUGACAUGGGAGAAUCCAGAUGAUUUGACAAAUGACUUUCUUCUCUGACUAUCAAAGGUUGUCAUAUUUUUCCUAUUUCAGAGACCCUCCUGAAAGCUGACGAAAGACAUUCAAUAUGGUACUUUAAUGUCAGUUCAUUUGGCCAAUCUACCAGCCUUCAGAAUGGAAGGUAUAGUCAUGCACAUGUUGUUACCCCAUGUACUCAGAAGGAUCACAAGUUGGAGGGAAUCUGGGCAAUUUAGGGAGACCCUGUCUUAAAAUAUAGUAAACAGGGCUGGGGAUGUACAUUGUACACUGUAAACCAGUAAUAUAGUCACCUGCUUUAAGGAAAGCAGUUCUACUUUUUUUGGGGGGGGGGGUCUCCAUUUUUGCUGCUACAAAAUUCACUUGCUUUUUAGGUCUAAGCCAGUGGUUCUCAAUUAGUGAUAAUCUUGUUCCCCAAAUGAUGAAGUCCCAUUUGAUUAUCAAAACAACUUGUUUGGGAAUGUUCUGCUCUUUCCUGAAAUAGACCAGAGAUUCUGUUAAUCAUCCUACAAUGCAAAAGACAGCCCUCCAUAACAGAAUUAUCUGGUCCCAGAUGGCAACAGUGUUAAUGUUAAUGAAGUCUAAUCUAAAUCUCCAUAUAAUUUAAGAAAUUUCCUCAAGUUUUACCCUGCAAAGGAGACGAAAAAUGAAAAUAGACUUGUUGAUUUGAUUUAUUAAGUAGCCUUACACUUUACCUUCCAAUCAGCAUAAUAAUAAAUGUUUGAUGUAAAUAUCUUCUCUGAAAUUCAACAACCUUUAUUUUUGAGACUGAUUCUUAAGUUACUUCCUUUUCUCUGGUCUAAAUAAUGUCAAGACUUUGGAUUGUUUGUUUACUUCUGAUUUGUUAAUUCAAACAUUAAUUUAACAACAACCCUGUGCAGGUAGAGUGCUAAGAAGGAAGAGUUAAAUGGUAAAGCCCAGUAUUCUCAUGGGUAAUGGGAAAAGACUGUCACAAUGUCAGAUUAUUGAGUACAUUGUGCUCAGAAUGUGUAUUGCAUUCAGGAUGUCUUCUGUGGAACACAGAAGAAUUCAUCCUGAAGGUCAGAGGAAGGCUUUAAAGGGGAAGUAAUGUCCAAACUGGGACUUGAGGGAUGAGAGUUUGCAGGGUGAUUGGGGACUGGGGAGAAAGUCAGUGAAUGCAUUCUUCAUUGAGAAAAAUGAUUAAACAUCCAUUAUGGGCCAGUAGUUAGGCACCAACCACAUUGUGAAAAACGAAACAGACACCUCCUACCACUAUGGGGGACUUUAAAGAACCAAAGGAAACCUCCCCUUUAAUGCUUAGAUCAUGCUUUAAGAGUCCUCAGAACUCUACUGCCUGUCCCUUGUGGAUGGGAAGAAAGAUAGAUACUAUCUCCAAUCUUAUAAAGGAAGAGCUGAAGGCAAGAGAAACAAAGUGACUCCCUGCCAGCCCUAACCAUGGCCAAAGAUCUCAAUUGUGACCAAUUGAGAACCACUGGCUUAGACCUAAAAAGCAAAUGAAUUUUGUGGCAGCAGAAAUGGAGACCGAAAAAAAUUUAAAAAUAAAAAAAAAUAGAACUACAUUCCUUAAAGCAGGUGACUUUAUUACUGGUUUACAGUGUACAGUGUAUAUCCUCAGCCCUAUUUAUUAUAUCUUAAGACAGGGUCUCCCUAAGUUGCCCAGACAGACCUACUAAGUGGCAAAACCAGUGCUUUUCUACUUUUCUUUGGUUUUCAAAUGCAAUUUCCUAUGGCAGGGAGGCAAGCACGUCUAUUUCUACCUGCUCCUUGCCCUGCUGUCUUCAUCUCUGUCUUAGCCCCUGUUUUUUGCUGGCCUCAGUGCUGAAGGAGUUUUCCAGUCUUCCUAGCUCUGAUUGAAGUGGGAGUGCCAAGGGAAGGAAGUGAGAGCUGCUGUCCACUUUUCACCAUUUGCAAGAUCAUUUCUACCUUGAUUCUCUGCCGCGCCCCCCCCCCCCACUUUUUUUGAUGAAUAAGGAGAACUGAGAUGUGGGACUGAAAAUCCCUUUUGUUUGUCUUGGUGUUUGAUAAUGUAUGCAACCUCUCUGGGUGGUUUAAGCGGUUUAGGUACUUUCUAUAAAAGGGAUCUUUUAAUGACAAAACUAAUGUGAUUAUCUGAGUGAGUGUGAGAGGCGUAUUCAAGGCUUAAAGAAAAUCUGUUAGAAUAGCUGAAUGUAUCUGCUUAAUCCUUUCUCUAAUGUGGCUGAACAAUGCUCUGAGAAGCCGUUGGUCCUUCUUUCUUCUAGUAAAUGCCUGUCCCUAGAGGUAGGGACUGUUCACAGCUUUUGAUAGCCUUAUGCUUCACCUUCCCAGCUGCACAAAAGCACAGGAAAAGCCUGGAGGAGUCCAAAGCACCUACAGAAAGCAACAUCUCCUCUGAACAUGGACAGCAAGAUGUACACUACAAGGCAUGCUUUCUACAGGGCAUCCUGAGCUGCAAGGACUGUGGUCACUAUUGGGAAUGCCAUUUUGGAGAAGGGUCUGUUUCUGCUGAUGCUGGGUGACAGGAACUUGUGAAUAUUAUUUAAAAUCUUACCUCUGAGUUGUAAGAGUAGUUAAGCUCCUCUUUUGUGUGUGUAUGUGUGGGGGUGGUGAGUGAGUGGCAAGGGAAGCCUAAGAGGGGAGAAAAGAGAAACAGUUUGAGUCCUGCAACCUGCUCUGUGAUUUGGGGACAAAAUUAUUUUCCUCUAGUAUCUGUUCUCUCAUUUCAUGAACCAGAGAUAAUAAAACCUCCAUAUAAGUUCAUUGUGAAAAUCAAAGUAAAAUGGGAGCAUGAACAUGAAAGUGUCACAGCCAAACUGCAAUAUUAUCACAUAACUUACUUUUUAAAAUUUUACUUUAUUUAAAAAUUUAAAUUCUUAUUCUUUUAAGAAUACUCUUCUAGAUGUAUAAUUUAACUCAAGAAAGCAUUUGCCCACUUAUGUGCUGGAAGUUAUUCUCUUGACCUUCAGGGAAGUUGCAAUCUCGUAGGGUUGCGGAUAUGUAAAAUGCAGUCUGAGAAAAGUAUAUUGCAAGUGAUUAAUUAUAAGAUGGGAGCAUAGUAAUAGCAGCUAACCCUUCUGUAGUAUUUAUUGUUUUCCAAGCACUGAGCUGUAUGUUUUAUUUGAGUUACCUUAUUCAACCCCCACAGCCCUGGAAAGUAGAAAUAAGUAUCAUCCCAUUUCAUGGAUGAGGCUGACACUCAGUCAGAUCAAAGAAGUCACUUUCCCACAGUGUCACAUGUGGUAAGUGGUGAGCUAGAACAGUUCUAGCUGUUUCAUAGUCUAAACUCGUUGUACUGUUACAUCCCAAGUUAAGAAAGACUUCCUAGAGAAGGAGAUCAUAGGUGGGUUCCAUCCCAGAAUUGAAAAUGUGCUCAGUAUGUAGAAGAGAAAGGACAUUCCAAGCAGAGGGGACAGCACAGGUCAAAGCACAUUGCCCAUAAAGUUUUUGUGCAGAGAGAAACUAGAAGCAGUUUUCAGUUAGUGUGGAGUUGGGUACAUUGGAGAGUAAGAAGGGGCCAUAUUAGGAUCUCCUAUACUGCACCUUUGUGGAAAAACAAGGAGGCAAGUUAUUUCUUUUAAUUAAUUACUUUGUUUCUAUCCUGUUUGUCAAAAAAGAUUUUGCAGCAAAGUGGGAACUGUUGAUGCCUUUAUAUAUAGAUUGGAGACACACUGGAAGAUUGAAGACCCUUCAGAGAUGAUGAACUCAUUCUUUCCAAGAGGAAAUCCAGGCUGAAUGCAUCAUGUGAAGCAAUUUACCAGAAGUGUCACAACUCUUACAAAAAUGACUGAAAUACAUUUUGGAGCACCCCCAGAGAGCAGGUGCUGACAUGCCUGGGCACACUCAAUGAUUGCAUGAAACAAAAACUCCAGUAUUUCCCUUCCCUGUGUCACCAUAGCCAUCCCACUGACCUGAGAACCAGUCUUCCCAAAGGGCCUACUUCUCACCUCUCAGAUGGAAAACAAAAAGGCAUGAAAUCAAUGCUCUGAAUGUAAACUAGACAGAUAAAUAUCAGUGCAGCAGGAGGGGAGAGCAAUAAAGUGAGCAGGCCUGAGUGAUGGUGGUAACCUGCUGAAUUCCCAGGUCACGGAGUAAUUUACUGACUGGUCCUAGACCCCUGGAUAAUUAUCCAGACAGCCCCCAUUCUGAUGUGAAGCCUCCUGCUGCUUAUGUUAUUAAUUCCGGCUGCAACCAGCGGGCGUUGGUGGGAGCAGAGAGGAGCAACCAAGUCCCCAAGCUGCUGAGUGAAUGCGGAGGCACCUGCCCAGGCCCUCUGAGCUAGACCUCACCAAGAAAACCCACUAGCUCUGGCUUUCAGCUCUUAGCACAGCCACUGCCCGGCCCUAGGGAGAGGCUCCUAAGGAUGGCCAAGGCCUUGGUAAAGGCAGAAGAUCCAAGUUCUGGAGUGUGACCAGCUUGUAUCAAAGAACCAUUGCCUUGUUCCUCUUUGGGGCUGACUGGAAAGUGAUUUUGAGGUUUUCCCCAAUAAAACUGAUAUCCAGGAAGCAAUGUCAAACACUUAUCUUUGAUGAGGUGUGAAAAUCAGACUUCACUGCCCUCAACUAAGAUUGGGGAAAAUGGAGGUGUAUGUUUUAGGGUUUAAUCACGUGAGAUCUUUUUCUUAUCUUUUCUGCCCAAUCUACAUAGAUGUCCCAGCAGCAUGUCUUAAAACCAAGUUCCAGUUUUUCAUCCCCCUACACCCCUACUUUAUUUUCAGCUUACUGGAUUGGCCCUAGAGAUGACAGGAUGACAAUGUUUCACAAUCACUUCUGCUUUGUCAAGAUCUGUGUAGUGAGUAGAGGUAUCUCUGCAAUAUCACACCCCAACUCAGCACUGCCACAGGACAGGUGGUCCAUACAUAUUGAGUGAAUAAUUAGGAAUGUAUUCAUGAAGACUCAACCAUUGGGACUUUUUUUUUUCUUUAAGCAAGCAAGUUCAGAUUUGUAUUUGAAAGGAUUACUUUGCUUCAGUGUGCAAACUCUCCUGGAACAGGAUUUCUCAACCUUGGAAUUAUCAAUACUUGGCAGAAUAAUUCUUUGUUUGUUAGGGUCUGUAAACAAGUCAAGAUGGUGCCUGGCAUUUUGCCAGAGGGAGUGGUUUGUGAAGUAAUGCCAGCGAGCCAUCAAGUGUGGAGAUUCCUUAUUGGUUGACUGCUGUAUCUAGUUUAUGUUAAUUAAGAUAAGCUGUGUGGAAUGUAUAUAUACCCCUCCUGUCCUACAAUAAAAGGCUCCCACUCCUGCUGUA